rnacentral:tRNA from 1 species
ACUUAAAUAGCUUAAUAUAGAGCAUAACGUUGAAGGUGUUAAGGUGAUAGUAAUGUCUUUGAGUA